GAACAUGCCGCGUGAAGUGAUGAAGGUUUUCGGAUCGUAAAGCUCUGUUGCCAGGGAAGAACAUCCUUGAGAGUAACUGCUCAAGGAGUGACGGUACCUGAGAAGAAAGCCCCGGCUAACUACGUGCCAGCAGCCGCGGUAAUACGUAGGGGGCAAGCGUUGUCCGGAAUUAUUGGGCGUAAAGCGCGCGCAGGCGGUCAUUUAAGUCUGGUGUUUAAUCCCGGGGCUCAACCCCGGAUCGCACUGGAAACUGGAUGACUUGAGUGCAGAAGAGGAGAGUGGAAUUCCACGUGUAGCGGUGAAAUGCGUAGAGAUGUGGAGGAACGCCAGUGGCGAAGGCGACUCUCUGGGCUGUAACUGACGCUGAGGCGCGAAAGCGUGGGGAGCAAACAGGAUUAGAUACCCUGGUAGUCCACGCCGUAAACGAUGAGUGCUAGGUGUUAGGGGUUUCGAUACCCUUGGUGCCGAAGUUAACACAUUAAGCACUCCGCCUGGGGAGUACGGUCGCAAGACUGAAACUCA
rnacentral:rRNA from 1 species